GAUGAACGCUGGCGGCGUGCCUAAUACAUGCAAGUCGAACGCUUUGUGGUUCAACUGAUUUGAAGAGCUUGCUUAGAUAUGACGAUGGACAUUGCAAAGAGUGGCGAACGGGUGAGUAACACGUGGGAAACCUACCUCUUAGCAGGGGAUAACAUUUGGAAACAGAUGCUAAUACCGUAUAACAAUGACAACCGCAUGGUUGUUAUUUAAAAGAUGGUUCUGCUAUCACUAAGAGAUGGUCCCGCGGUGCAUUAGCUAGUUGGUAAGGUAAUGGCUUACCAAGGCGAUGAUGCAUAGCCGAGUUGAGAGACUGAUCGGCCACAAUGGGACUGAGACACGGCCCAUACUCCUACGGGAGGCAGCAGUAGGGAAUCUUCCACAAUGGGCGAAAGCCUGAUGGAGCAACGCCGCGUGUGUGAUGAAGGGUUUCGGCUCGUAAAACACUGUUGUAAGAGAAGAAUGACAUUGAGAGUAACUGUUCAAUGUGUGACGGUAUCUUACCAGAAAGGAACGGCUAAAUACGUGCCAGCAGCCGCGGUAAUACGUAUGUUCCAAGCGUUAUCCGGAUUUAUUGGGCGUAAAGCGAGCGCAGACGGUUAUUUAAGUCUGAAGUGAAAGCCCUCAGCUCAACUGAGGAAUUGCUUUGGAAACUGGAUGACUUGAGUGCAGUAGAGGAAAGUGGGACUCCAUGUGUAGCGGUGAAAUGCGUAGAUAUAUGGAAGAACACCAGUGGCGAAAGCGGCUUUCUGGACUGUAACUGACGUUGAGGCUCGAAAGUGUGGGUAGCAAACAGGAUUAGAUACCCUGGUAGUCCACACCGUAAACGAUGAGUGCUAGGUGUUUGAGGGUUUCCGCCCUUAAGUGCCGCAGCUAACGCAUUAAGCACUCCGCCUGGGGAGUACGACCGCAAGGUUGAAACUCAAAGGAAUUGACGGGGACCCGCACAAGCGGUGGAGCAUGUGGUUUAAUUCGAAGCAACGCGAAGAACCUUACCAGGUCUUGACAUCCCUUGACAACUCCAGAGAUGGAGCGUUCCCUUCGGGGACAAGGUGACAGGUGGUGCAUGGUUGUCGUCAGCUCGUGUCGUGAGAUGUUGGGUUAAGUCCCGCAACGAGCGCAACCCUUAUUACUAGUUGCCAGCAUUCAGUUGGGCACUCUAGUGAGACUGCCGGUGACAAACCGGAGGAAGGUGGGGAUGACGUCAAAUCAUCAUGCCCCUUAUGACCUGGGCUACACACGUGCUACAAUGGCGUAUACAACGAGUUGCCAACCCGCGAGGGUGAGCUAAUCUCUUAAAGUACGUCUCAGUUCGGAUUGUAGGCUGCAACUCGCCUACAUGAAGUCGGAAUCGCUAGUAAUCGCGGAUCAGCACGCCGCGGUGAAUACGUUCCCGGGUCUUGUACACACCGCCCGUCACACCAUGAGAGUUUGUAACACCCAAAGCCGGUGGGGUAACCUUCGGGAGCCAGCCGUCUAAGGUGGGACAGAUGAUUAGGGUG
rnacentral:rRNA from 1 species